rnacentral:rRNA from 1 species
GUGGGGAAUCUUCCGCAAUGGACGAAAGUCUGACGGAGCAACGCCGCGUGAGUGAAGAAGGUUUUCGGAUCGUAAAGCUCUUUCGUUAGGGACGAACGUGCUCUUUGUGAAUAAUGAGGAGUAAUGACGGUACCUAAAUAAGAAGCCACGGCUAACUACGUGCCAGCAGCCGCGGUAAUACGUAGGUGGCAAGCGUUGUCCGGAAUUAUUGGGCGUAAAGCGCGCGCAGGCGGGAUAUCAAGUCUGUCUUAAAAGUGCGAGGCUCAACCUCGUGAGGGGACAGAAACGGGUAUUCUUGAGUGUCGGAGAGGAAAGUGGAAUUCCAAGUGUAGCGGUGAAAUGCGUAGAGAUUUGGAAGAACACCAGUGGCGAAGGCGACUUUCUGGACGAUGUCUGACGCUGAGGCGCGAAAGCUAGGGGAGCGAACGGGAUUAGAUACCCUGGUAGUCC